AAACACAAUUGAACCGGGUUCAGGGUGAUCGGGAAUGCUCUUAUACCGGGUGGAGGUUCACCAUUGCACCUCGGUGGGUUGAAACUCGCGAUGGACCCUAAUCGAGUGCGCUUGGGUGUGUAGUUUUUGUCAGUGGGGAGGCCUCACGAUCCUCCCUU
rnacentral:snRNA from 15 species